CCGGCUGUACCCCCAAAAUUGCCUGACCCGGGUCAGAGUCGCGCCCAGAGCUGGGGUGUGUCCCCCGCGGGGUCUGCGGGUUCGGGGUACCGGGAUGGGGAUGGGGCGGCUCGGUGUGUGUGGGGGCGCGGGCGGCCCUGGCGGCGCUCUGGACCCUGAAGGCGGAGGCGGUUUUGGGAAGUCGUAAGCUCGCCCCUGGCACGAUGGAAAGAUCACCCCGGCUCCGCCACACCCCGCAGACCCCCUCCCCCCCAUGGAAACGCGCGGGUCGUGGGUGGUGAGCCAGGACCCCAGUUCCCCUCACCCCGACGCCUCUGCCCCCGAGUCAGCGUCCGCAGAUAGCUCAGUGGAGGAGAGCGCUGGCCUGGGGCUGCCCUGGCAAGAGGAUGAGGUCAGGCUCCUGCUAACUUGGACUGGCGGAGAUUCAAGUCAAAGGACAAAGUCAAGGCCACUCUAUUCUCUGGAUGUCCAGAUGCCCAGGCUGCGGUUCCUGGGACCAGCAGAGGCUCAGGCCUUUGAAACACAUGCCGCAGUCCCGACAGAAACACAGCUGACAGCAGGAUGUGGGCCUCAGUUUCCCUAAAAAGAUUAUGUGGGGGAGUCGGGCUGUAGCACAGAGGGUUAAGCGCAGGUGGCGCAAAGCACAAGGACUGGCAUAAGGAUCCCGGUUCGAACCCCGGCUCCCCACCUGCAGGGGAGUCGCUUCACAGGUGGUGAAGCAGGUCUGCAGGUAUCUAUCUUUCUCUCCCCCUCUCUGUCUUCCCCUCCUCUCUCCAUUUCUCUCUGUCCUAUCCAACAACAACAACAAUAACUACAACAAUAAAACAACAAGGACAGUAAAAGGGAAUAAAUAAAUAAAAUAAAUAUUAAAAAAAAAAGAUUAUGUGGGUGAUGUGAGACCCAUGGCCCUCUGAUCCUAUACCCCUAGGCAGCCAGUUCCAGAGAGGAGGUGACUACAAAGUUCCACUCAGCAUCUGAGUCACUCCCCAAAACUGGAGGGAUAGGGCUGAACAGUCCCAGCCACCUGGGGAUGCACAGGUGUCACCUGCCUCCGGGGCUGCCCCCCCUUCCCUGCUUCCAUCUGGUAGUUAGGGCUGCGGGGGGGGGGGGGGCAAAGCAUUUCUUAAAUCCUCCCUGCCGAUCCAGUCAUGUCAGCAGAUCGCAGUCAGGGCCUGGUCUAAACCGAGUGUUCCCAGCC